rnacentral:misc_RNA from 1 species
UAAUGUCUGCUGGUUGAUGGUU